UACGUAGGGUGCAAGCGUUGUCCGGAAUUAUUGGGCGUAAAGAGCUCGUAGGCGGUUUGUCGCGUCGAAUGUGAAAACCCGGGGCUCAACCCCGGGCCUGCAUUCGAUACGGGCAGACUAGAGUUCGGUAGGGGAGUCUGGAAUUCCUGGUGUAGCGGUGAAAUGCGCAGAUAUCAAGGAGGAACACCGGUGGCGAAGGCGGGACUCUGGGCCGAUACUGACGCUGAGGAGCGAAAGCGUGGGGAGCAAACAGGAU
rnacentral:rRNA from 1 species